UACGUAGGGUGCGAGCGUUAAUCGGAAUUACUGGGCGUAAAGCGUGCGCAGGCGGUUUGUUAAGACAGAUGUGAAAUCCCCGGGCUUAACCUGGGAACUGCAUUUGUGACUGGCAAGCUAGAGUAUGGCAGAGGGGGGUAGAAUUCCACGUGUAGCAGUGAAAUGCGUAGAGAUGUGGAGGAAUACCGAUGGCGAAGGCAGCCCCCUGGGCCCAUACUGAACGCUCAUGCACGAAAGCGUGGGAGCAAACAGGAUUAGAUAC
rnacentral:rRNA from 1 species